UACGUAGGGGGCGAGCGUUGUCCGGAUUUAUUGGGCGUAAAGAGCGCGCAGGCGGUCGUUCAAGUCGCGUGUGAAAGCCCCGGCUCAACUGGGGAGGGUCACGCGAUACUGAUCGACUGGAAGGCAGGAGAGGGUAGUGAAUCCCGGUGUAGUGGUGAAAUGCGUAGAUAUCGGGAGGAACACCUAUGGCGAAGGCAGCUCGCUGGGACGUUACUGACGCUGAGACGCGAAGCGUGGGAGCAACAGG
rnacentral:rRNA from 1 species